UACGGAGGGUGCGAGCGUUAUCCGGAAUCACUGGGCGUAAAGGGCGCGUAGGCGGUUUGUUAAGUCUGAUGUUAAAGACUGGGGCUCAACCCCGGCAUGGCGUUGGAUACUGGCAGGCUUGACGGUUGGAGAGGCGAGUGGAAUUACCAGUGUAGCGGUGAAAUGCGUAGAUACUGGUAGGAACACCUAUUGCGAAGGCAGCUCGCUGGACAAUUCGUGACGCUGAGGCGCGAAAGUGUGGGGAGCAAACCGGAUUAGAUACCCCUGUAGUU
rnacentral:rRNA from 1 species